GACAUGUGAUGUGUUUUCUCACGAUGGUCUUCCAAGUCCCACAGGUGAAGGGGCUUUGACGACAGUUGCCGAGUGGCCUUGCUGAUGUCAGUUC
ensembl:snoRNA